UACGUAGGGUGCAAGCGUUAAUCGGAAUUAUUGGGCGUAAAGAGCUCGUAGGCGGUUUGUUGCGUCGGCUGUGAAAACCUGAGGCUCAACCUCAGGCCUGCAGUCGAUACGAGCAGACUAGAGUGUUGCAGGGGAGACUGGAAUUCCUGGUGUAGCGGUGAAAUGCGCAGAUAUCAGGAGGAACACCGGUGGCGAAGGCGGGUCUCUGGGCAACAACUGACGCUGAGGAGCGAAAGCGUGGGGAGCGAACAGG
rnacentral:rRNA from 1 species